rnacentral:tRNA from 1 species
GAUUAAAUGGCUGAAUUAUAAGUAUUAGAUUGUAAAUCUAUAAAUGAAAGAAAAUUUCUUUAAUCA